ACCAAGUUCAAAGCGUUGCUUCGGUUUGUCAGUUCAAGCAAGAAAACGUCCUUACCGAAGAGAUCUGGGUGCUAAAACAAACUCUGGAGCUCUUUUUUUCUGUUGAACACAAGUGAGACGACUCUGAACACACCUGCGGCGUGAAGGUUUACUUGUUCAGCUGCUGCAGCCUGGACAGAAACACCACAUUCCUAAAGGUGUGAUGAUUUUUCACCACUUUGUCCAUGAUCACAGAGAGUCUUCGUACAGUGAAGUAGUUCUCUGAAACCAGGACUGAGGCCUCCAGGUUUACUUGUUCAGCUGCUGCAGCCUGGACAGAAACACCACAUUCCUAAAGGUGUGAUGAUUUUUCACCACUUUGUCCAUGAUCACAGAGAGUCUUCGUACAGUGAAGUAGUUCUCUGAAACCAGGACUGAGGCCUCCAGGUUUACUUGUUCAGCUGCUGCAGCCUGGACAGAAACACCACAUUCCUAAAGGUGUGAUGAUUUUUCACCACUUUGUCCAUGAUCACAGAGAGUCUUCGUACAGUGAAGUAGUUCUCUGAAACCAGGACUGAGGCCUCCAGGAUUCAAACUUUAAAUCACAGAAAGACAAGACAGACUUGAAGACAUUUCCAGAAGGUCAGUGUUUUUGUCAGUUUAUUUUUUUCAGUCUGACUCUGUCAUUACCUCAGCUGCAGUUUGACACAUUAAAGCUGCUGUAACUUUUCAGUUUUAAUUAGUAUUUAGUAUUAUUCAACAAUGUUGAAUAAAACAAUGUUGUUUUUAAACAGAAAAUAUAAA